CAGGAUGCUGAGGCCUCCAGCAGGAGGUCUCUGGGCGUAGUCCACUCCCUCACAGGAUUUGGAUGGUAGUUCUAUAGAAGGUGCCCAAUUUAAAACCCUGGGAUCUGGUCUGCAGAAGUGCUGAGUGCUCACAACAGCAACAGAUGUCAACAGGAGCUGUGAUUUGAAUAUAUAAGGCAUCUGGACAGGCUAGCUCAGAGGAAAGGAACCUAGACCUAUUGGAAGUGUAGGAGGGUGCUUGGUGAUACAGCAUUUGGA